UGCAGAGAGGGGCUGGAAUUCACCGUUUCUGCCACAAGUCAUGAAGAUGUUGCUGUCACCCACUUGUGCUGCACAGAUCAUGUUUCACAGAAGAGCCAGGCAAGCUGAAGAGAAAUAUCUGUGAGAGGGAGGAAUGCAAAGAGAAGCACUCAUCGCCUGUGAUGUGCUGUCUGUACUUUCGUUUGAUCUCUGAUUGUCUGUCUCACAUCCAUCCCAGCACUGGCCUUUUUGGCUACUCACACAACUGGCCCUCUCUCACUCACCUUUUGAGAUGGAUGUGUUCUGUACACUGUUUAUGAUGAGGGGGGGAAAGUGUGACAGACAUCUGUGACUUUCCUCUUGCCAGUUCUGGCAAAUAUGUCUUUAGUUUUCCUAUGUGUACAUGAAGUUCCAGCCUGCAGAUGUUUCCAGUCCAGUCAGGGCUGAAGGACAGUCCUGUCCAGUUGGAUGUCUGUUCCCAGAAGCAGUCUGGCAAGGAUGAGCAGCUGGUCAGAUCUGCCAAAGGUUAAACAACAUUGAAAGGUCAACUAAAAGCAAAUAUAUGAAUAUUCUGAGAUGGAAGAGAUCCACAAGUUGUCAUCAAAGUCCAACUCCUGGCCCUACACAGGACAAACCCAAGAGUCACAAGUGCUAGCCACCAUGUUGGAAAAAAAGUUAUCAAGCCUCUCCUUUGAUAUGUUGGUUGGUUGGUUGGUUGGUUGGUUGGUUUUUGGUGAGUUUUCUUUGUCUUCUAAUUCAUUCAAAGGUACUGCUCAGUUGCUACUGGUUCUACUGUAUACAUUAGAACUGGCCACGUUUGCCAUUUAGUAAAGUAUAGACAAUUGUCCCUGUUGGCCUAAUUUUUGAGAAAACUGAGCUUAAAAAGAUAGACGGGAUCAGAUCAGAUAAAAUUUGACAGCACACAUUUCAGAUUCACAGUAUUCUGUGUUUAGUACAACAUGUCAGUUCCCAGGAGUUUCCUGUUCAAAUAAAGUAUGUUCUAGCUCUGAAGCUGCAGAUCUUGGACAAAGCCUUGGGAUAUCAGGCUUUCUCAGUUCUUUGUGGGUAGCAGCAACCCUUUUGUAAAGGAUCAGAGGAAUUUUACAAUGGUCUUGACUGGAAUUUUUCUCUUGUUAUGCCAGGUUGUUGGUCACACUUUGACUGGGCACCAUGGAGAUAGACUGUAAUUCUCUGGAAUACAUCCCACUGUAGAAAUGAAAGAUGCUAUUAACAGCAAUAUUGAAUAUCUGGAAGAAAAAAAGGCUUCCUGUGUUUAGAGUUCUGAGGAAACAGGAUGUGAGAUAAUUAGCCAUAAUUUAUAAUAUAUAGCCAUAUUGUUUCCUCAGCAAGAAAUGGGAUGGGCGUUAUCCUGUCACCAUUCUUUAUUCCAAGAGUUCCCAAGAGCAUUUUGCAUCCUAGUACUGUGCUGUGACCAACCACAUUUAUUCACAGUUUAAAGACAAAAAAUCCUCAGAGCUUUUAACACUAUGUGUACAUACCUAACAGUUUCUAAUAAAAAUCCAGCAGUGCACUCCUUAGCAAAAACAGCCACCAUUCUUUCCUUGUUCCAAAUUAUUUGCUCUAGUUUGUGGGAUGGUGACCUGUCUAACCAAUUUAGUCCAUUGAACUGAAGCUGAACCAUAUUACAUAAUGUUUCUCUGCACCACCCUGAACUGGUUUCUCUCAAACUUAGUGUAACAACAGGUUGACAUAAAUAUUGUUUUAAGUGUUGUCUGCAAGUACCACCCUUCAUCUUAGAAGAACUGUAGGAGAUAGCUAAAUAAAAGCAAAGUUAAACCCAAAUUAAAGGCAGCCAUGAGCUUGAACUCAUAGGAUGAAAAGGUUUUGCUCUGGGACUGUGUAUGACAGAGCAAGAGGAGGAUGAGGGAAUGAAGUUAACUGGUGUCAUGCUUUAACCUCAGCCAGCAGCCAAGCCCCAGGCAGCUGCACUCCACAGACUGAGGAACUGCUUUUAUUGUGUCCCAACACUCACAGACAUCAACAAACUUAGAAAACAGUGUUUCUUCCCUAUUUUUGUUUGUUUGUUUGUUUACCUAAAGGUAUGAAAACAUCUUAUCUGUCAAAGAAUUUAUGCAAUCUGGACUAUGCUGGAUAACAUUAUAAUACUGCAAUCUAAUAGCCUUGUUUCAUGUGAAUCAAUAUUUUUGUAUUCACAUGAAUAUCUUAAAGAUUUUUAUUUUUUAAACAGAUACAAAAUGUUCAUUAGUUGAUUUUUUUGCAUGACAGAUAUGGACAGACUGAUUUUUCUGAAAUUCCUUAUUUAACCUUUAGAGAUUAAGAACAUUCUUUGGCCUUUGCUGGUUUUACUGUAGAAGAGCUCCUUAUUUUAAUUUGAAAUGCUGAAUCUUUAGCACAGAUUUAUAUUCUCCAGAGUAUUGAUUAACUACUACAGUUCAAAGGUGCUUUGAAAUCUUCAUCUUCCUUAAUUGUCCAGCAUGUUGAAUCCUGCAGUGUCCUUUGCUCUUCCUUGAGAUUUUGCAUACACCAGACUUCUCAAAGUUUCUUGCACUUGCCACUCCUCCUGUUGAGGAAAUCUGUAUCCAUAACUUUGUGUUUUAGCAGUGGCAGUAGCAGGAUGAACAGAAGUCUCUGAAAUCCAACAUACAUGCCGUCAGGUUGUGGUGCAAGAGAAGUUAACAAACAUGAUGCAGAACCAUGUCUCCAGAAAAUGUCUGUGUUUUCAUGAGAGACGUUACCUUCCCCUCCUACCUAUUCUGUCCCUCUCUCAAAGGUUUCCAUUUAGAAAUAAAACAACCACACAUGAUACAAAUAAAUCACAAACUGACAGUUCUUUACAAUAAUCUGCCAUGCAGUUUGAAACAUUGUUUCUACCUCUGUUGCAAGGUGGUAACCAUGAGCAAAAUGGAAAAGCAGAUUACCAGAGAUGGAAAUAUCCUCUUUGAUUGCUCAAAUGAGUCAAUCAAGCUUGCCACAAAGUACACAGAGAGCGCAGAACACAAUCCAUGUUCAGUUUAGGUAAUGUUUUGGUGAGGCGGUGAUGAGAAAAAAUUAUUUUACAUAAUUGUUUUGAUUUUGAGAUAGUUAAUUUCAUCUUUUCAGCAAGUCUGAGUCAGCCAAAUUGAUUCUCUGUGAUGAUUGAGUGGCUCUUUUUCACAGAAGGCAGAAAACAGAAAUGUAAUUCGGUGUCUCUCAGGUGGAAAAAAAUUGCUCUGAAGCAGCAGCUCUCAGGGGCUGGGAAGCUUCUUGGAGGACUUUCAGGCAGUUUUUUUCUGCUAACUAUUUUUAGAGUUGUGUGUGUUUCUUUAAAUGCGUUCAGAAAAUGUCACAUCCUAAGCAUAACAGGCAAUAAUCCAAGUGACUAAAAUAAGAACAAAACUUCACCAUAACUUUUAAAAAAAUCAUUUCAGGCUUUGGAUUAUUUGCUGUAUAGCUCAUACGAAUUACAUCAGUUGCCAACACCACCACCAUCAGCUUUUCCAAACAAUCAUUUAGUUUUGCAUUAUUAUCAAAUACUUUAUCUUGACAGCAUAAUUAGUGAUUUACUGCACUGGGCUAUGUUAUUCCAGUCCCUAGACAGUAAUCCCCAGCUGAUCAGCCAGUGAAGUCAGCUGAGAGGUUGCUAGCUAAUGGUCCAAUGCAAACCAAAGUGCUGUUCACUAUCUAAUAAACACAUUUGUUCAUAGCACACUUGCUAAUAAGGGCACCACUAAAAAGAACAUCCCUUAAUCAUGUAUAAUACCAGUGGAGUAUUUUUAGUGCAUACUAAACAAUCUUUUUACCCAAAAGAAGAACUAAGAAUCCACUCUACUAAAAGUAUACCCCACUUAAUACACUCUGAGAACAGUAUGUUCAAAAUCAUGUUGAAAUUAAUUAUUUCAGACAUUUACCCCAAAAUAACACUUUAACAAGCCUCUGCUUGUCUGCAGCUGCUCAGGAUGACAUUAUGGAAGAAGGCAGUUAGGUGGAGGAGUUGUUAAUGUUAUGGUGCUCAUAUUCAUGCAGCCACCAUCAAGGCUGGACUAGAGGAGAUGUAUGUUUUAUACAGUGAGAAGAGUUCUGUUGAAUUCCUGAGGUUACCUACAGAUUAUAAAAUUUAGGAGAAAUAUAAUUAUUUAUUGGGUUUAUCAUCCCAUGCUCUGGGGUUUUUCUAAGCUGUUUUAUUUUGUACUGUAGUUACAUAAAAAAAUAUUCUUGUCACUUAAGCCACAAUUUUUUGUAGUGAAGCUUUUUCCACCUGAAGCUUGCUUGUCCUUUGUAUUUAAAAUGCUGAAAGAAGAAUUUAGCCAAAACUCAAAGCAUUUUCACACCUUUAAAUACUAACUGAAAAUAUGAAAGUAACCUUCCCGAUAAUAAUUCUUGACCACCUUCUGAUACUCCCUCUGCUGCACUCUUUGGCACUGCAUGCUGUGGGUCCCUGUCCCUGCUGCUCUCAGCUCUGCAUGGUAGAACAGCAAGGUUGCCAUGGUCUGAACCCAUCACCCCAGGAAGGCUCAUGGGACACAGAAGUGGAAGAGAAAAUUUGUAGUGAUGUAUGAAAGGAAAAGCCAUAAUAUCUUCAAUAGACCCAGAGGAUGAAAAGAGGGACUGGGUUGUAACUAUCAUAUAAUAUCAGAAAUCAGAGGGAAUUUGAGCCAUCAAACCCAAUUAGCUGUUGAAGGAAAGAACGUCUUAAUUAUGUUCUUCCCCCCCACCUUGCUGUUACCAUAGACCUGUUUAGGUGGAGUGACUGCAGGUAAAUGCUCUCGUUGCCCACAACUCCUUAGUGAGAUGUUGUCCUUCGUUGUCUGUGUCUUCUUUUUACAUUGGAUAUAUCCUUGUGAUACGCCUACACAGAAUGGUUAUGUAUCCAUUUGUUUAUCAGACAGAAUUUACAGAAUGGCAGAGUUCUUGUGGUUGCAAGGGACCUCUAGAGACCAUCUGGUCCAACCUCACCUUGCUCAGGAAGGGUCACUUAAAGCUGGUUGCCCAGGACCAGAUGGCUUUUGAAUACUCCAGAGAUGGAGAUCAGAGCCUCCAGGGGCAAUCUGUGUCCUGAUUCAGAGGGUACCAGCUGUGUUUCAGGCUGUGUCUGUUGUAAUGGAUUCUGUGUCUGGGCACCAUUGAAAAGAGCCUGACUCCAUCCUCUUUACACCUUCCCUGCAGGUGUUUGUACACACUGAUGAGAUCCCCUUGAGCUUCCUCUUCUCCAGGCUGGACAGUCCUAGGUCCCUUGGCCUUGCCUCCUAUGUGAGGUGCUCCAGUCCCUUCAUCAUCUGUGUGGUCCUUUGCUAGACUCUCUCAAAUAGCUCAAUAUCACUCUUGAAGUGGGGAGCCCAGAACUGGACACAGCACACCAAGUGAAGCCUCUCCCCAGUGAAGGAUCACAUCCCUCAGCCUGCUGGCAAUACUUUGCCUAACACUUGCCUUCUUUGCAGCUGGGCUGCUUUGCUGGCUCAUAGCUCAUGUUCAGCUGGGUGUCCAUCAGGAUCCUCAUGGCCUUUUCUACUAAGCUGCUUUUCAGAAAAAAAAAAAAAAAAAAAAAAAAAAAAAAA